UCCAAUUGUAAUAGCAAUAUUGUAAUUGGAUAGUGGCAAACGGGUGAGUAAUACAUAGGUAAUUUCCCUUUGAGAGGAGUACAACUCUGCGAAAGCGGGGCUAAUUCUACAUGAUACUGCGUUCUGAAAUGGAUGCAGUCAAAGGCGUAGCAAUAUGCGCUCAGAGAUGAGCCUAUGUCCUAUCAGCUUGUUGGCGAGGUAACGGCUCACCAAGGCUAUGACGGGUAGCCGGUCUUAGAGGAUGUACGGCCACACUGGAAUUGAGAUACGGUCCAGACUCCUACGGGAGGCAGCAGUGGGGAAUAUUCCGCAAUGGGAGAAAUCCUGACGGAGCGACGCCGCGUGGAUGACGAAGGUCUUCGGAUUGUAAAGUCCUGUAGAGGGGGAAGAGGGGUUAUCGUAAGAUAACUUGACAGUACCCCUAAAGUAAGCUACGGCAAACUCUGUGCCAGCAGCCGCGGUAAUACAGAGGUAGCUAGCGUUGUUCGGAAUGACUGGGUGUAAAGAAUCUGUAGGCGGUUUUGUAAGUUGAAUGUGAAAUCCUUUGGCUUAACCAAAGAACUGCAUUCAAAACUGCAUUACUUGAGUGCGAGAGAGGAAAGUGGAAUUUCUGGUGUAGCGGUGAAAUGCGUAGAUAUCAGAAGGAACACCUGUGGCGAAGGCGACUUUCUGGCUCGCAACUGACGCUGAGAGAUGAAAGCUAGGGGAGCAAACAGGAUUAGAUACCCUGGUAGUCCUAGCUGUAAACGAUGGACACUAGGUGUGCCCGCCUUAGGCGGGUGUGCCGAAGCUAACGCAUUAAGUGUCCCACCUGGGGAGUACGGCCGCAAGGUUGAAACUCAAAGGAAUUGACGGGGGCCCGCACAAGCGGUGGAGCAUGUGGUUUAAUUCGACGCUACACGAAGAACCUUACCUGGGCUUGACAUGCUGGUAGUAAGAAACCGAAAGGUCGAUGACGCGUCGUAAGACGUGAGCCAGCACAGGUGCUGCAUGGCUGUCGUCAGCUCGUGUCGUGAGAUGUUGGGUUAAGUCCCGCAACGAGCGCAACCCUUAUCUUUAGUUGCCUGGCUACUUUUAGUGGUCGGCUACUCUAAAGAAACUGCCACGGAGAACGUGGAGGAAGGUGGGGAUGACGUCAAGUCAGCAUAGCCCUUAUGUCCAGGGCUACACACGUGCUACAAUGGCGCGCACAAAGAGUUGCCAAAUCGUAAGAUGGAGCUAAUCUCAAAAAGCGCGCCUUAGUUCGGAUUGAGGGCUGCAAUUCGCCCUCAUGAAGCCGGAAUCGCUAGUAAUCGCGGAUCAGACACGCCGCGGUGAAUACGUUCCCGGGCCUUGUACACACCGCCCGUCACACCACGAAAGCCAACUGUACUUGAAAAUGUUUAAACCUUUAUCGGAAAGCAACUAAAGUAUAAUUGGUGAUUGGGGUGAAGUCGUAACAAGGUA
rnacentral:rRNA from 1 species